rnacentral:rRNA from 1 species
GGACUACUCGGGUAUCUAAUCCCGUUCGCUCCCCUGGCUUUCGCACAUCAGCGUCAGCCACCUCCCAGGACACUGCCUUCGCCAUUGGUAUUCCUCCGGAUAUCUACGCAUUUCACCACUCCACCCGGAAUUCUAUGUCCCUCUGAGGUGCUCCAGUCACACCGUCUUCCCGGCACUCCCGUCGGUAAGCAACGAGCUGGCACCGGAAACGCGUGCGACCGCCUGCGUGCGCUUUACGCCCAAUAAUUCCGGACAACGCUUGCCCCCUACGUAUUACCGCGGCGGCUGGCAC